rnacentral:piRNA from 1 species
UGAUCCUUUCCCUAGGCUCCAGUGUGUAA